AUUGAACGCUGGCGGAAUGCUUUACACAUGCAAGUCGAACGGCGGCACGGACUUCGGUCUGGUGGCGAGUGGCGAACGGGUGAGUAAUGCAUCGGAACGUGCCCAAUCGUGGGGGAUAACGUAGCGAAAGUUACGCUAAUACCGCAUACGAUCUAAGGAUGAAAGCGGGGGAUCGCAAGACCUCGCGCGAAUGGAGCGGCCGAUGUUAGAUUAGGUAGUUGGUGGGGUAAAGGCUCACCAAGCCGACGAUCUAUAGCUGGUCUGAGAGGAUGAUCAGCCACACUGGGACUGAGACACGGCCCAGACUCCUACGGGAGGCAGCAGUGGGGAAUUUUGGACAAUGGGCGCAAGCCUGAUCCAGCCAUUCCGCGUGCAGGAUGAAGGCCCUCGGGUUGUAAACUGCUUUUGUACAGAACGAAAAGCUCUGGGUUAAUACCCUGGGGUCAUGACGGUACUGUAAGAAUAAGCACCGGCUAACUACGUGCCAGCCGCCGCUGUAA
rnacentral:rRNA from 1 species